rnacentral:rRNA from 1 species
UAAAGCUUCAAACUGGGAUUAGAUACCCCACUAUUCUUGACUGUAAAUCUAAUAAAAUUUACCAGAGCACUAUGAAUAUUAUAAAAAAUUUAAAACUCAAAGGGCUUGGCGGUGUUUUAGACCUAUCAGGGGAACCUGUCUCAUAAUCGAGAAUCCACGUUGAACCUAACCCUAUUUUGUAUCCAGUUUGUAUACCGUCGUCGUCAGGUAACUUUUAAAAGAUUAGAAGUUAGCAAUAAAAAUUUUUUAAAUUAAAACGUCAGAUCAAGGUGCAGCUAAUAAUAGGGCGAGGAUGGGUUACAGUUAUUUAAGUUAUAAUUACGGAAAACUACAUGAAACAUAGUUUGAAGGAGGACUUGAAAGUAAAAUAAAAUAUAUAGACAAUUUGAAUAUGGCUCUGAAACGUGCACACACCGCCCGUCACCCUCUGCAGUCA